GUAGAAUUAGUUUAUUUAAAAUACUAAGUUGUGGGCUUAGAGAUAUAAGGUCUUUUAUUUUACU
rnacentral:tRNA from 1 species